GAUGAACGCUAGCGGCAGGCCUAACACAUGCAAGUCGAGGGGCAGCACGUCUUCGGAUGGUGGCGACCGGCGCACGGGUGCGUAACGCGUAUGCAACCUACCUCUUACAGUGGGAUAGCCCAGAGAAAUUUGGAUUAAUACCGCAUAGUAUACAGAUUCAGCAUUGGGACUGUAUUAAACAUUUAUGGGUAAGAGAUGGGCAUGCGUUCUAUUAGUUAGUUGGAGUGGUAACGGCACCCCAAGACAGCGAUAGAUAGGGGCCCUGAGAGGGGGAUCCCCCANACUGGUACUGAGACACGGACCAGACUCCUACGGGAGGCAGCAGUGAGGAAUAUUGGACAAUGGGCGCAAGCCUGAUCCAGCAAUGCCGCGUGCAGGAAGAAGGCCUGGUGUAACUGCUUUGUCA
rnacentral:rRNA from 1 species